CCAAGGCUACAAUACAAGUCCAAACUAGGACAUACAUAAAGCAAGAUAACAACCACUAACUGCCGUUAAUGGAGCAUCAAUACAUUCCGGUGAAAACAAAGGAGGGCUAAGCCUUGAUGUCUCAGUUCAGCGGCCGGAGAGGAGGCCUACAGCAUGAGGGAGAUAAAUUCCAAUCCAUGAGGAUCAAUUUCGCCGAAGCGCAUUCUCUCAGACAACCUAACUUCAAAAUACCUGCUAUUGUGGAGCAAACUUUUGCAUAGACGACUCUAUGGGAUGAUUUGUGUCCUUUGAAAAUUCGAGCAUUUCUCUCUUCCCAGGGUACGCUUCAGCAAUUUUCUUUUGCACAUCUUAGCCAUGUUCAUAGGAAUGGCAAUGAGAUUGCGGAAAUUAUCUCGUUCUCACAUGUAUGAAUACUGCUCUUGGUUUUAUUCCUGUUGAUAUUCUUCAAUUAGCAGCCAAGGACAGUGUUUAAUGUUUGUCUUUGUAAGGUUGUUUGCAAGUGUAAACAAAAAAAAAAAAAAAAUUAGGGCCCCACUGCACGUGCGAAUGAGCAAUGACCUGUGUGGUUUGUGAAUGAGAGUCCUUGCAUUUAUCCUGCAGUGAUCUCAUUACCACGGAAGGAUGAAUGCGUGGUCACUGUUAUAAGUGGUGGAAUGGUGAGUGGGAAGAGGAAGACUUUCAAUAAAGUAAGUCAAUCCAAUUCCAGCCACAUGUGAAUGAGUCUCCGGGCAUUUAUUUUGCAACAAAUAUGAGCAAUUAUUUUCAGUAAAGUCAUAUUCUAUUUUAUUUGUAUCUUUAUAUUCUAUGAGACAAUGUAUCACUACUUUCUUUCAGCAAAUAUCAUCUUAGUUGAUAUCAGUAACUGAAAAUAUCAUCUUAUAUAUAUUGAUUGAUUGAAUGUGAUUUGCAAUUUUUACUUUAGACAAGAGAUAAACACUCUUCUAUUAUCUAUGAUUUCUCAAUAAUCUAUAUGAUGAAAAAAAAGAAGAGAUGUGAGUUCUGAUUAUUGAAUAUUGAUGGACAAUUUUGACUUAAAACAAUCAUUCUAAAAGUAAACUGUAGACAUUUUUUUAAUUUUAUAUUCUGAUUUUCCUAACUUGUACAUUUCCAAAGUUAUUCAUGGCAAUUAGUUAUGAGGGGACACAUGUAUAGAUGGUGGAAUGAUAAGUAUGUGAAAAUAGGAAGACUUGACUAAAGUCGAUCAAUCCAAUUCUAUAUCAGAAAGUGAGAUGGGAUAAGAAUCCAAAGUCACGUUUGGACAAAAUAACAAUAAUAUCUGUAAUAUUAAUGCGUAAUUCUAUGUCUUGUGUGAAAUUUCUUCACUUUUAAUUGUGAAUUUCAUUAUUAAAAUGGUGAAAUUUUACUUACUUUUACUUGUUUAUAAAUGAAAAAAAAAAAAAAACACUGUAAAGUGAACUUCUAAAAAAUAUAUAAAAAAAGAAAAAAAAUUCACUUGAAAUCCUUAAAAUAAUGAAGUUUAUGGUGUUGAAAUCCAUAAAAAGGGUUAAAUUCCCCACUUGUGAUAUUAAAAUUUUUAUAAAAUUGAAAAUAAAUAAGAUAAAAUUUCACCAUAAAGAACCUAGAAAAAAGAUUUCCUUAGAGAAAUUGCUUAGAAGAGAAAGAACCAAGUUUUCGUUGGUGGGGAAUAUAGCAAGGUGGUCCCUCUAACCGACGAGUCAUGUUUUGAAAAACAUCAAUUGGAAAAAGUCACAAUUUCAUAAUAAUAGAGGAUGACUUACGCCAAUGGGCGUCUUCUUUGCAACUGGCAAGAGCAGUGAUAGCAUCACCUGGAUGGACUUGCCAGCUGGGCAACAUUUGUAUUAUAAUUUUGAAUUUACUCGGAAUUAAGCUGAACUAAGAAUAAAUAUUAGGUGCGACAUGCACGUCAUAUUAUUAAUUAUUUAUAUAUUUAUGGACCAAAUUAUGUUUACAUUGGGCAACAUUUAUAAAGAUAAGUUUGUUUAUUCACUUAUUAUUAGAUCCACAUAUUCUAGUCCGGACAGCCAUCCAAAGUGGUAAGCACUUAAAAUG